UCACUGUCCUCACGCUCUUGAAGAAGUUGUAUGUUUAACUCUUAGGAGGAUUGUAAUUCCUUAAGGGUCAAUUGGAAUUUGGCUUCCAUAUCUUUUAUCGAUGUUUUCCGGGUAGAUCUGAAGAGC